AGAUAACGGGAUCAUUGUAGGCAGUCAAAGAUAUAUCAAUUUCGCUUACAGGAGUUUCAAUGGGUACACACAGAUCCUUGGAAAUUGAAGAAAGGCUAGGAAAAUCAAACAAGUCACCUGCAUCGGGAGCAAUAUCUAAAAUAAGCUUCCAUAAAGAAAGAGCGGAUUCUCGACAAAUAUCAGGAAUACAAAAUUCGCCCAACGCAGCAUCAACAACAAGUCGGAUAAAGAGGCGACCGUCGAAAAUAUCAUGGAAUCCAUCUACUUUGGAAUCCAACAGCUGAAG